AAAAAAUUUUAUAAUUUUAAAAAUUUAUUAAAAAUUUAUUUUAUAUAUAAAUUUUAGUAUAAAAAUAUAUUUAUUUUAAAAAUAAAUAUAUUAUUUUAUUUUAGUAAUUAAUAUUAAAAAUAUAAUAACUUAUUAUUUAGUAAUAUUUAAAUUAUAAACAAAUUUUGUGCCAGCAGUUGCGGUUAUACAAAAUAUAAAUUAAAUUUUAUUAGUAAUAAUUAAUAUAAAAAUUUUAAAUUAAAUUUUAAAUUAUUAAGUGAAAUUUUAAUUUAAAUUAAUUUUAAUUUAAAAUUAUGAGUUUAAUGAAUUAAUUUUAUAAACUAGGAUUAGAUACCCUAUUAUUAUUAAUUAAUAUAUAAAUACUAGAUUAGUAAUUAAUUAUUUAUUGAAAUUUAAAUAAAUUGGCGGUAUUUUAGUUAAUUUAGAGGAAUCUGUUUAAUAAUUGAUAAUACACGAAUUAAUUUACUUUAUUUAUUAAUUUGUAUAUCGUUGUUUUAAAAAUGUUUUUAAUUGAAUUUAAUAUUUUAAAAUUUAUAUAAAAAAUUAAUUCAAAUCAUGAUGCAGUUUAUAAUAAAGUAUAUAUGGAUUACAAUAAAUUUAUUUUUGGAUAAGAUUUUUAAAUAAUAAUUGAAAUUGGAUUUAAAUGUAAUUUUAAUUAUUUUAUUAAAAUGAUUUUAAAUUAAAAUAUGUACAUAUUGCCCGUCGCUUUCAUUGUUAAUUUGAAAUAAGUCGUAACAAAGUAGAAUCACUGGAAAGUGAUUCUAGAAAA
rnacentral:ncRNA from 1 species